GCUGGGCAUAGUGGUGUGUGCCUGUAGUCCCAGCUACUAGGGAGGCUGAGGUGGGAGGAUUGCUUGAGCCCAGGAGGUUGAGGCUGCAGUGAGCUGAUUGUGCCACUACACUCCAGCCUGGCAACAGAGCAAGAUCCUAUCUCCA
rnacentral:SRP_RNA from 1 species